rnacentral:rRNA from 1 species
AUUGAACGCUGGCGGCAUGCUUUACACAUGCAAGUCGGACGGCAGCACAGAGAAGCUUGCUUCUUGGGUGGCGAGUGGCGCACGGGUGAGUCACAUAUCGGAACGUACCGAGCAGUGGGGGAUAACUAAUCGAAAGAUUAGCUAAUACCGCAUAUCUUCUGAGGAAGAAAGCAGGGGACCAUUUGGCCUUUCGCUGUUUGAUCGGCCGAUAUCUGAUUAGCUAGUUGGUGGGGUAAAGGCCUACCAAGGCGACGAUCAGUAGCGGGUCUGAGAGGAUGAUCCGCCACACUGGGACUGAGACACGGCCCAGACUCCUACGGGAGGCAGCAGUGGGGAAUUUUGGACAAUGGGCGAAAGCCUGAUCCAGCCAUGCCGCGUGUCUGAAGAAGGCCUUCGGGUUGUAAAGGACUUUUGUCAGGGAAGAAAAGGGCGAGGUUAAUACCCCUGUCUGAUGACGGUACCUGAAGAAUAAGCACCGGCUAACUACGUG